rnacentral:lncRNA from 1 species
CAGAAAUCUUUUAGGCAUUUAAUAGUGCCUUACCUCUAUACCUUGCAUCAUCAUUGUUAAAGAACUGUUUUAUCUUCUCUAUCCAUGGACAGACUCUUCAAGUCAAGGUUUGCAAGCAAUUCAACAUUGUAUUGCCUAAUCCCAGGGGCCAAGGAGGGAGCAGUGUACAUCUGUAAAUGGAAUGAGUGCCAUUUCUUCCUUCUACCCAAACUAAAGCUGUGGUCAAGGGCACUGCAUUCAGCAUGGGUGUCAGAGGCUCAUCCCAGCAGAGUUGACAGCUUGGUACAAGACAGCAUCAACAGUAGCCAUGUGAACAUGUUCCUUCUUGUAAAAGAAUGGCUAAAAGGUCAAUUUUUAUUUCUAUAAAACAAGGCAAUCAAAACAAUAUAAAACACAUUGAAAGGUAUUACUGAGUGAGCUUCAAGUGGAGUUGAUUCUGCAAAGACUGAGUCCAAAGGGAAAAGGAAGGUGUCUUAUUCCUGGGCUGGGCUGCUCAGAAGGAAGAGGCCAGCAGGGGCCCCAUCAACCCCAGACUGAUGCCACAUGUGAAGCUGAGUCCAGCCAAUUCCAGUCCCACAAAGGGUCAAACCGUGCCAAGGGAGGGCUGCGGUGGAGCUGCUGCGGAGAGGAACCACAGAGCCCAGUGGCACAUUCUGAUGGAGAUCUGGAUGGAGGAGCUUGGACUUGGAAAUGGAUAUUCUGGCUUCUGCUCUUCCUGCACCGACCAGUGGAUCUUCUAACAUGGCUGCAGAGAGGGGUGCUGAAUCUUGGCCUCAGGAGCCUUUCUGGUGAGACGUUCAUCGUCAUCAUCAUCCUCAUCUCUCAAGUGUAGUGUCCUCAGCUGGCAAGCCGUCCCGCCAGAGCGCGCUUCCCCUACACAGGCCAGGUGAGGCUGCAAUGCAGUCAGGUACACGCAGACGUUGGAGCUUGCCCACUUACUCCUCACUGCUGCAGAAACGUGGAUCAGAUUUUCACAGAAGAGCUGGGCCUACCUUUGCAGGGCCUUUCUUUUCAUUUUGUAUUUUUUUUGGCGGGUGGGGAGGACUUAUUUGAUUGUUUUGUAAUUUAUUAAAAGGGUGUUAUAGACUGGCACCAGGAGAAUUUGGACCAACUUCCAAGGAGGGCAGUGUGGCCUGGGAGAAUAACCACCAGAGCCAUUUCUUCUUUGCAGAAUGGGAUCUGGGUCAUAUGAAGUGAAUCUGCGAAAAACAAAUUGAAUGCAGAGUGGGAGUUGCAAGGGCACAGAAGGAAGAGGAACUAGAACCCUUAUUUUCUUUUUUUUUUAACUUUAUGGGUUAAAUACAAUUUGAAGAUUUUGGGUAAAUGUGGAUGAGAAAAGAAACAUGUUUUCAAAGUGAAUUAAAGCAGUGAUUUUUAUAACAAAGAAAGCAGAACUACAAUGUCUGAAAGUUUUAAUCCUUUCUUUACAAGUAACUAGAUCACUUUUGAUUAAGAAAAUUGUAGAAAGUUAGUAACUGCCACAAGUUAACGCCAGGCAGGCACAUGUCAAUUUUCCACAGAGUUGUGCUUUGCCGGAUCUCUCCUCACAUUUGCUGGAAUCAUUUGUGGUAGAUUUUAGUCCAUAAGUUGCUUUCCCCCAUAUUUCUUUGUAAACUCUUCAGCAUUCUUACAGAAUUUUUUAUGGUCCUUAGAGUAUUCUUCAGUUAGGUCAACCCGGAGAGGGUGCUUGGGCUGAGAGUCAGUCACCAAUGCUAUGAGGGACUGGAUUACUUGGUUGGUCUUGGUCUCUGGCUUCCAGGACUUAACACUAAUUAACAGCAGGCAAACCUGACCUUUUUCAUCAGUGUUUGGGUGAUCUUUGUUUUAAAUGUGAUCUUCAGUGACUUGAGUGGGUACUCUGCUGGAAAGUUGAUUUCAGUUCUAAAGGUCCUUUAUCACAUGGAGGGCUGUCAGGAGCAAUAAGCCCUUACCAAGUCAAUAAAUUGGCUUCAUCAACCUGGAUGUUAUGGAAGUUUUUCACUCCACGUUUGCAAUCUCCUCAAGCUCUUUCUUUAGCCUCCUGAAGGCCGCCAUCUUGUAUCUGGUACUGCUGCUUUCCCCUGUGUUUUGUCAAUCAACUAGUAAAAUUUCAGAUUUAAUGGGUUUCUUAGCACUGAGAACAGAAGAUUAGAGAAAUUACAAGAUAAGCUUAUUAAAAAUAAAUUUGGGCAAGGCUUGUGAAUAUAAGGAAGUGGGAAAAAAUGUUCUUGCUGGUUUAGAGAACUUAACUGAUUAUAAAUAAGAC